UUGGAGGGCAAGUCUGGUGCCAGCAGCCGCGGUAAUUCCAGCUCCAAUAGCGUAUAUUAAAGUUGUUGCAGUUAAAAAGCUCGUAGUUGAAUUUCGGGAUCAAUAUGCCGGUCAUGCCUUGGUAUGCACUGGUAUCUUUGAUUUCUCCCUUCUGACGAACUUUGAUGUCAUUAAUUUGGUGUCAUAGGGAAUCAGGACUGUUACUUUGAAAAAAUUAGAGUGUUUAAAGCAGGCUCACGCUUGAAUACAUUAGCAUGGAAUAAUGAAAUGGGACGUUUGAUUCUAUUUUGUUGGUUUCUAGGAUCGACGUAAUGAUUAAUAGGGAUAGUUGGGGCAUUAGUAUUCAAUUGUCAGAGGUGAAAUUCUUGGAUUUAUUGAAGACUAACUACUGCGAAAGCAUUUGCCAAGGAUGUUUUCAUUAAUCAAGAACGAAAGUUAGGGGAUCGAAGACGAUCAGAUACCGUCGUAGUCUUAACCAUAAACUAUGCCGACUAGGGAUCGGAUGAUGUUAAUUUUUUAAUGACUCAUUCGGCGCCUUACGGGAAAC
rnacentral:rRNA from 1 species